CUCGCCCCGUUCCUUGGAGCGGCGACUCAGCUGCCCACACCUUGCAGGGAGGCCCCUCUGGCAGGAGAGCGUCAUUUGCGCCAGUGCCGGCAGCGGACACUCUCGUCCCGCUGCAGUCCCGGCACCUUCUGCAAGUAGGGUGACCAGACAGCAAGAUGUGAAAAAUUGGAAUGGGGGGUAAUAGAAGCCUAAAAAAGACCAAAAAAUGGGACAUCUGGUCACUCUAUCUGCAAGAGACUUGCAACGAGGUGUCCCGUGAAAAACCUGCGGUUCCAACCAGUGGGUUGCAAAGGUCAGUCUGCUAAUGUGACCUCCUAAAGGAAAAUAAGCAGUCCCAGUGAGGUGUGGCAGAACAGCCAUGUCGGGUCUGCCCAAUGGACCUCUGGGUCAGUAGCUGCUCUUCGACUUGGGUCAGUGCCUGAAGCCUCACAGGGAAUGACCAGAAACGGUCUAGCAGUGAGCUAUCCCCUGUCAUCCAGUCCCAGCUUCUGGCAGUCAGGUUUAGGGACACCCAGGGGCAUGGGAUUGUUUUUCUAGUUGUCUUGGUUAUUAGCUAUUGAUGCACCUAUAUAUGCUCCCUGAAUUUAUCUACUUCUUUUUUUGAACCCACUUAAACUUUUGGCCUUCACAACAUUUCUUCGCCACCAGUUCCACAGGCUGACUGUGUGUUGUGUCAAGUACUUCCUUGUGUUGGUUUAAUCUGCUAUUAAUUUCAUCAUGUGACCCCCUGUGUUAUGUGACAGUGAAAGUAGCACUUCCCUAUCCACUUUCUCCAUAUAGUUAAUGAUUUUAUAGGUCUCUGUUAUAUCACCCUUAGUCAUCUCUUUUCUAAGAUGAACAGUGCAAACUCUUUGUAAUCUUUCUUCCACAGGAAGCUGUUCCACCCCGCAUCAUUUUAGUUGCCCCUCUCAGUACUUUUUCCAAUUCUAUCAUCUUUUAUUUGAGAUUAGUGAUCAGAAUUGCACACAGUAUUCAAGGUGUUGGCCUAUCAUCGAUUUAUAUAAUGCAUAAUAUUUUCAGUCUUAUCUAUCCUUUUCCUAAUGAUUCCUAACAUUUAAGUUUUUUUAAUGCUGCUGCAAUUGAGCAGAGGUUUUCAGAGAACUAGCCACACUAACUUCAAGAUCUCUUUGUUGAGUGGUAACACUGAAUUUUGACUCCUUCAUUUCAUAUGUAUAGCAAGGAUUGCUUUCCAAUGUGCAUUACUUUGCAUUUAUCAACAUUGAAUUUCAUCUGCCAUUUUGUUGCUAGUCACCCAGUUUUGUGAACUCCCUUUGUAAGUCUUCAUGGUCAGAUUUGGACUUAAUGGUCUUAAGUAAUUUUGUAUUGUUUAGUAUCAGAGGGGUAGCCGUGUUAGUCUGGAUCUGCAAAAGCAGGUAUAUAUAUGCAGGCAAGCUAGAGAUAACUUAUCUCUAGCUUGCCUGCAUAUAUAUACCUGCCCCUGGAAAUUUCCACCACAUGCAUCUGACGAAGUGGGUAUUCACCCACGAAAGCUCAUGCUCCAAAACGUCUGUUAGGCUAUAAGGUGCCACAGGCCUCUUUGCUGCUUUUGUAUUGUUUAUAGACUUUACCACCUCAUUGUUUGCCCCCUUUUUCACCUGUUUAUGAAUAUGUUGAACACCACCAAUCCCAGGAUAGAUCCGUGGGGGACCCUUUUAUUUACAUCUCUUCAUUGUGAAAACUGAUCAUUUAUUCCUACCCUUUGUUUCCUAUUUUUUUUAACCAUUUACUGAUCCAUGAGAGGACCUUCCCUCUUAUGCCAUGAUGGCUUAUUUUGCUGAAAAGCCUUUGGAGAGGGACCUUGUCAAAGGCCUUCGGAAAAUCCACAUACACUAUAUCCGUUGGAUCACUCUUGUCCACAAAUUUGUUGAGCCCCUCAAAGCAUUCUAAUAAAUAGGUGAGGCAUGAUUUCCCUUUACCAAAGUGUUGAUUUUUCCCCAAUAAAUCGUGUUCAUCUAUUUGUCUGAUCAUUCUGUUCCUAAUUUCAAACCAAUAUGCCUGGUUCUGAAGUUAGGUAUACCAGCCUGUAAUUGCCAGGAUUGCUUCUGGAGCCUUUUUUUAAAAUUGGCAUUACAGUAGCAAUCCUCCAGUCACCUGGUACAGAAACUGAUUUAAGCGAUAAGCUACUUACCACAGUUAAUUUGCAAUAUCAUAUCUGAGUGCCUUCCGAACUCUUGGGAGAAUAUCAUCUUGUCCAGGUGACUUAUUCCUGUAUAAUUUAUCAAAACCACCUCUACUGACACCUCAGUCUGGGACAAUUCCUCAGAUUUCUCACCUAAAAAAUGGCUCAGGUGUAGGAAUCUCCCUCACAUCCUCUGCAGUGAAGAUUGCUGCAAAGAAUUUUAGCUUCUCCACAACAGAUUUGUCUUCCUUGAGUGCUUACUUGAAUCAGCCCCACUGAUUGUUUGGUAGGUUUCCUGCUCCUACUGUAUUUAAAAAAAAAAUAAUAAUAAUAAUCUGUUUGCCUGUAUGUCUUUUGCUAGUUGGUCUUUAAAUUCUAUUUCGAGCCUGCUUAGUUAUACUUUUACACUUGACUUGCCAGAGUUUAUACUCCUAUUUUCUUCCAUAGGAUUUUACUUCAGUUUUUAAAGGAUGUCUUUGUCUCUACUUCUUUUACACUGUUGUUCACCUAGGCCUGGUCUACACUACGCGUUUAAACCGAUUUUAGCAGCGUUAAACCGAUUUAACGCUGUACUCGUCCACACAACGAGGCCCUUUAUAUCGAUAUAAAGGGCUCUUUAAAUCGGUUUCUGUACUUCUCCCCAGCGAGAGGAGUAGUGCUGAAAUCGGUAUUACCAUAUCGGAUUAGGGUUAGUGUGGCCGCGAAUCGAUGGUAUUGGCCUCCGGCCGGUAUCCCACAGUGCACCACUAUGACCGCUCUGGACAGCAAUCUGAACUUGGAUGCACUGACCAGGUAUACAGGAAAAGCCCCGCGAAAUUUUGAAUUUCCUUUUCUGUUUGGCCAGCAUGGAGCUCUGAUCGGCACAGGUGACCAGGCAGAGCUCAUCAGCACAGGUAACAAUGCAGUCUCCUGAGAAUAGAAAAAGAGCUCCAGCAUGGACCGCGCGGGAGGUACUGGAUCUGAUCGCUGUAUGGGGAGAGGAUUCUGUGCUAACAGAACUCCGUUCCAAAAGACGAAAUGAAAAAAUAUUUGAAAAAAUUUCCAAGGCUAUGCUGGAGAAAGGCCACACCAGGGACUCAGUGCAGUGCAGAGUGAAAGUUAAGGAGCUCAGACAAGCCUACUAGAAAACCAAAGAUGCAAAUGGAAGGUCCGGGGCAGGUCCGAAAACAUGCCGCUUCUAUGCUGAGCUGCAUGCAAUUCUAGGGGGGUGUGCCACCAGUAUCCCACCCCUGUCCGUGGAUUCUGAGGUGGGGGUUGUAAUCUCAGCCAUGGCUGAGGAUUCUGUGGGCAGGGAAGAUGACGAGGAGGAAGAGGAGGACGACCUUGCAGAGAGCACACAGCACUCUGUCAGCCCCAACAGCCAGGAGCUUUUUCUCACCCAGAUGGAAUUACCCUCCCAAGCCACUAGCCCAGACAGUGAAGCCAUGGAAGCGACCUCUGCUGCAAAUUUUUCAAGCCUCCCUACUGCAUCCCAAAGGCUAUCUCAGAUAAGGCGGAGGAAAAAAAAGACAUGAGACGAAAUGUUCUCAGAAAUCAUGGAAGUGACCCGCAAUGAAAGAGCUCAUCUGAAUGAGUGGAAGGACGUGGUAUCAAAUUACAGGAAAGAUGCCAGUGAACGUGAGGACAGGAGGGACGCUCAAGAAGAGAGGUGUAGGCAGGAAGAUCAGCGGUGGCGGGAUGCAAUGCUUGGGCUGCUGCGUGAUCAAACUGAUAUCCUCCGACAUCUGGUGGAGCUUCAGGAAGAGCAGCACGGUCACAGAGUGCCACUGCAGCCUCUGUGUAACCACCCUCACUGUGCACCAUGUUCCAUAUCUUCCUCACCCAGACGUGUAAGAACGCGUGGGGGAAGGCUUCGUGCACCCGCCCACUCCACCCCCGUGGAUAGCCCAACCAAAAGGCUAUCAUUACAUUGAAAUGUUUUUAGUGGCCUUUUCCUUCCCUCCUAUCCUCCUCCCAAACCACACCCGGGAUACCUUGUAAGUUCUCUCCCUCUUUUUAUAAUGACUUUUUAAUAAAGAAUGCAUGAUUUUUAAA